UACGAAGGGGGCUAGCGUUGCUCGGAAUCACUGGGCGUAAAGCGCACGUAGGCGGAUUGUUAAGUCAGGGGUGAAAUCCUGGAGCUCAACUCCAGAACUGCCUUUGAUACUGGCGAUCUCGAGUCCGGGAGAGGUGAGUGGAACUGCGAGUGUAGAGGUGAAAUUCAUAGAUAUUCGCAAGAACACCAGUGGCGAAGGCGGCUCACUGGCCCGGUACUGACGCUGAGGUGCGAAAGCGUGGGGAGCAAACAGG
rnacentral:rRNA from 1 species